UUUCCCUGUAUAAGCGCACCGCUCAAUUCCGUCGAUGAAAACCUCUCCCCACACCCUGCACACACGCAGACACUCCUCCCUUCGAACAAAAAGGAAUGUAUAAGGAUUUCAGUGACUUUGAGAUAACAAAGGCGCCACCAUUGCCGAGCCUCGCCCCGCCUCUGUGUGAUGGCAAACAAAUUCUUGCACUUGUAUUAGAGCUUUUAAGGCUAUAAUUGAACACGGCGCGUCUAGGGGAACCGAAAACAGUUCUAGACUGACCUGCGGUUUUAUAGCACUUUGGCAGUCAACUUCAGCUUGUGUCAGAGCAGACAUGACAGAGCUGCCCAACACUUAAUCGCGGGACGCCACCUCCUCGGACUCGCUGCAGCCGCCCUCUUGCAUUUCAAUAAAUUUCAAACCUUGGGGCUAGAAAUGGGGAGCAGAGCUGGCACAGUAAUUGGGACUUCCGCGUUGAGGAAGGGGGAAAACCGAGCCUUCCCCUCGCUAACCUCACUGAGAACAACAUAAACAAAGGCAGGCAUUUCGUUUGGAGAAGCAAAAUGCAUUCGUUACGCCUUCCCAUGUAUUUCGACCGGAUUAGAGAGGGUAAAACCGCUCUGAAUUUGGAACCUCUGCUGCAGGACGGUUUUGCAAAGGAGAAGCGUGGCCAAGAGGUGGGGAGACUCUUACCCAUAGCUAAGCUAAACAAAGGGAUAAGAAAAAACUACAUCUCUUCUUCUUUGGAGGAAUAUAAACAGAACUAGGACGCCUCGAUAGUCUAGCUUUUACAUAUACAGAUGAUGUGCAAAGGGACCAGUUUAACUCACUACUGCUUCUCCAAAAGGUCAAGUUCUAUUGCAUCUAAGUUGUUGUAUUUUUGUAUCGGGUUUUGCUUGGAAAAUAUUUGAAGCCGACCAUUUACCUUGCCAGUAGGGUGGGUGCCUCUAAUUAACAGGAGGAACGUGUGCUAGAAGGAAUUUGCGUCAAGAGGAGCUAAUUAAAAUAUUACAGGAUCGCUGGCUUCAAUCUCUGCUGCUUCUCUCGCACAGGCAGGUUGAGGGGUAUUACCACUCGAGCAGGAGAAAAUAUCUAAGGAGUUAGGGCAGCGUUUUGUAAAACGGAGAGUUGAUUACAGUCUACAGAGGCUUAUUAGAAAAGUGUAGCAUUAGGGAAUUUAAAAUGUCGCUGCCAACAAGAAAAAGCGCACCGUCUUUCCACCUUUACCAAUGCAAAUAGGGGCACAAGGCGAUAAUUCGUCGCCAAAUUUGCCAGGAAUGCAAAUACCAGUGCUUCAGAAAAACCUGCUAAUUAUUUGGAUUUUAAAUAUCUCAGGCUCAGAAGUUCUUAAAAGGCAUUUAUUUUCUGUUUGACGUUUUGUCUGUUAUGGAAAGAAGCUAUAGGUAUACUUUUUUUUAAAUUAAUAUAUUUCCGUAAGAUUGCAAUAGAAUGAAGUGCUACAAUAGCUAGAUAAGUAAUUUAAAUAAUAGGUGAAUUUUUGUAUAUAUUUGUAUAUGUGUAUAUAUCGAUGAGAUGGAACCCCUGUACUGUGACAUGGCUAUUUAUUUUCCAAAACGUGAGGCCGCGUGGUUGUGAUUUUGCUAGGAAACUGCAGAAUACGUGUAAAGAGAACGAGCAGAUGUACACAGGAUUCAAUGUAAUUCUGACUUCUUUUUUUUUUUUUUUUCCCCACAUUACGUUGUUUCAGAGGCUUGAACACCUCGAAAGUCUGCGCUCAUCUAGGUUAGAAUACUUUGGAUAAUUUUUAGUAUCAAUUAGCAAAAUCCUUUAAUUUCCUCUGUCACCCUCUGUGUCUUUUUAAGUUGCUGAAAUGAAGAGGGUGAUUGAGUUUUUUCCUACUAAGCCUCCCGUCUAGUUUGAAUUUUAGGAUUAAACGACUACGGACCUACAGAGAUAUACUCGUUGUUGGCGACCAACCAUGAUAUUUUGCAUCCCUUUGAGCUGAAGAACAUCUGAGGGCUCUCUGACUCUGAUAGCAGCAAGUAACCGAAAUACUGCGGGCUUUUUCUUCAGGAGAGGAAGCUACUUCUAGAUAGAAAACUUCAUGUUUCGGCAGCUGUUCUCUCGCUCACCAGCAGACAAACGAUUUGCUGUUCUUUCAGCCUCCCGGCGCCUUUCCAACGCGCGGGGAGUCUCUCACAAUGUCGUGUCUCCUCACCCCCCGGUUUCCCAGUCCAGAGCUCCGGGGUCUCGGGGCUCUGAACACCUCCAAAAUGUUUACAUUUACUGCUCGGAGCCUAGUCCUGAAAGACAAUGAUGGCCGGUUUGGCAAUAAGACGGACGCAAGAAGAGGUUUUGUCAGACCAGCGAGUAUAUCAGAAAUUGAUUGACUGACAAUGCUUCUAUAAAUGUCUCUUUUUCUCCCCUUGAACACUCUCGGAGGCUUUCCCAGCCCAAGAAAACAUACACACAGUCACUUAUUUUCCCCCGCGUCUGUCCAGAUACAGGUGCAAGAGACUUCUAGCAAACUUAGUCUGGGGGAGAGGGGUGUCUAGAGCCAGCGGCGGGCUCUAAACUGGUGCGAAAGCAAAUUUCCUUGGUUAUAAUGCGCCGGUACAGAAAAGCAGGCACUUUCCACUCACUCCCACCCAGACCCACAAAGCGUCGUUUGUAGUAAGCAGGUACCAGUCCCCUUUCGUGUCAAUGUAUUUUACGAAGAAUAAAGCAGAGCAGUUUAGGGAAACAUCGCCAGUUAUCCCUUGAAAGUGAGGUGCUAGUAAUCGACAGUUAUCCCUGCGGACGGCCAUGUCCCAGGCGAUGCUCCCAGGCAAAGUUCACCCUCAACCGAGAGUGCCGCUUUACUCUACGCAUUAAAAAAAAAAAAAAAAAAAAAAAAAGUCCGC